GAUGAACGCUGGCGGCGUGCCUAAUACAUGCAAGUCGAGCGAAUGGAUUGAGAGCUUGCUCUUAUGAAGUUAGCGGCGGACGGGUGAGUAACACGUGGGUAACCUGCCCAUAAGACUGGGAUAACUCCGGGAAACCGGGGCUAAUACCGGAUAACAUUUUGAACCGCAUGGUUCGAAAUUGAAAGGCGGCUUCGGCUGUCACUUAUGGAUGGACCCGCGUCGCAUUAGCUAGUUGGUGAGGUAACGGCUCACCAAGGCAACGAUGCGUAGCCGACCUGGGAGGGUGAUCGGCCACACUGGGACUGAGACACGGCCCAGACUCCUACUGGAGGCAGCAGUAGGGAAUCUUCCGCAAUGGACGAAAGUCUGACGGAGCAACGCCGCGUGGGUGAUGAAGGCUUUCGGGUCGUAAAACUCUGUUGUUAGGGAAGAACAAGUGCUAGUUGAAUAAGCUGGCACCUUGACGGUACCUAACCAGAAAGCCACGGCUAACUACGUGCCAGCCGCCGCAGUAA
rnacentral:rRNA from 1 species